AUUGAACGCUGGCGGAAUGCUUUACACAUGCAAGUCGAACGGCAGCACGGGGGCAACCCUGGUGGCGAGUGGCGAACGGGUGAGUAAUACAUCGGAACGUGCCCAGUCGUGGGGGAUAACGUAGCGAAAGCUACGCUAAUACCGCAUACGAACUCUGGUUGAAAGCGGGGGAUCGCAAGACCUCGCGCGAUUGGAGCGGCCGAUGGCAGAUUAGGUAGUUGGUGGGGUAAAGGCUCACCAAGCCGACGAUCUGUAGCUGGUCUGAGAGGA
rnacentral:rRNA from 1 species